rnacentral:tRNA from 1 species
GCCUGGGUGGCUCAGUCGGUGAAGCAUCUGACUUCAGGUCACGUCAUGAUCUCACGAUUUGUGGGUUCAAGCCCCGCGUCGGGCU